GUAGUUGUCCAGCUUGAGUCAUCACAAGAUGCCCUCAGACUGGAGACCACGUUGGGAGAAUCGCUGCUGUGAGCACGCAGCCAGCGGAGUCCUGAGCCCGGGAACACAGGAGGCUUAGGAAUGUGAUCGAGCCAACGGCUGCCCCUCUGAGCCUCAUCCACCUCCCCAAGAGUCCCAGUCCUAACACUUGUUCUUCAGCGGAAGAGACCGAGGCGAGGAGCGACCUUGAGGGUUUGGUGAAGAUCCCUGUCAUCAAUGGCAACAGCAGGGGCCUGGAAACUUCCCUCUCUGAAGCUUCCCUUCAGCCUGAGAGACAGCAGGUUCACGUCCUACUGGGAGAGCGAGCAGGUGGGGCCUCAGUUUCCUGGCUUGCU